rnacentral:rRNA from 1 species
UACAGAGGGUGCGAGCGUUGUCCGGAAUCACUGGGCGUAAAGGGCGCGUAGGCGGCUUGAUAAGCGUGCGGUGAAAGCCCGGGGCCCAACCCCGGGUCGGCCGUGCGAACUGUCGAGCUGGAGCACUGUAGAGGCAGGUGGAAUUCCGGGGUGUAGCGGUGGAAUGCGUAGAGAUCCGGAAGAACACCGGUGGCGAAGGCGGCCUGCUGGGCAGUGGCUGACGCUGAGGCGCGACAGCGUGGGGAGCAAACAGG